rnacentral:tRNA from 1 species
AAAAAGAUAAGCUAAAUUAAGCUAAUAGGUUCAUACCCUGUAAAUGAAAGAUAGCCCUUUCUCUUUUUA